GCGCCUGAGGCGGCGAGCGGCGGGGGCUGGCAGAGCAGGGUCAGCAGUGGAGGGCGCCUUGCCUUAGCCUCGCGGAGCUGGCCCGGCUCCGGCGUCCAGGCCUCGCGUUUGGAGGCGCAGAGUCUUCGCCGGUGAAUACCUGUUCCGGUCUCCGGGUGUGGCCACUAGUCGGGUUGCUCUGCUGUGUUCCAUCUCCUCCUAAAGAUGCAUCCUGACUUAUCUCCACACUUGCAUACUGAAGAAUGCAACGUCUUGAUUAACUUGCUUAAGGAAUGUCACAAAAAUCACAGCAUUCUGAAAUUUUUUGGUCAUUGCAAUGAUCUUGAUCGGGAGAUGAGAAAAUGCUUGAAGAAUGAGGUAUGUCUUCCCCUAAAGUCAAGAGGAGAAAUGAAAGCAUCUUCUGGGGACAGUUUUGGAACAUUGCUGAUUUUUUUGCAUGUACAUAAAUGAAAGCAAGUAUUUUAUAAUAAUCACUGUAACUCCUCUGGAUGAAUUUUAAGGUUUGAGAAGUUGAAUCUGUACAGCAGAAAGAAUUGUUGAUCAGCUUUUAGCUCUAGCAGUACAUGGAAAAGAGGAACAAGAGCAGGGAACUUGGCAACGCAAUGCGAAAGAGACUUUUUAAUCCUCCAGAGGAAUCUGAAAACUAGAUCUUAUUUUCACUGGAUGCCUUGCCUGAGAGAAGACCCAAAGACUCUUGGUUGGUAACUGAAGGAAUCCUGUUGCAUUUGGUCCCUAAAAUCCUUUGAAUGGAAAGUGACCCAUGAGAAAUCAAGCCUUGGAGAAGUAUGGAAGCCCUGGAUCUGGAAUGUUUGUCGGGCAGAGUUGUUUGUACCCUCCCUCCUCUACCAGCGCAUCUGAGACUUCUGUUUCUUCCCUUUGCCUAUGACCUGUUAACAUUUGAGUACCUUAACCUUCAAUAAAACCAUUGAUUCUAAUCA